rnacentral:lncRNA from 1 species
UUUCAGAGUAAUAAAUCACGAAGCAAUUGAUGCGCUUAACAGGGAACAGUUGACGUGCAAACCUACUUUUAACAACCAAAAAUUGCAUUAGAAUUUGAAUAUGAUGAAUUAAAAUCAACAAAAAGUGUGCUAGGCAUUCAUUAUGCAAAACUGAUGAGCAAGUUCAUUUCUAGUUCUCACUUUUGUAUAUAAUCUCAGCAAAUUUCUAAGAUACAUCAUAGGAUAACCACAUUGUUGAACUCAAUCUCACUCACACAAUUCUAGCUCUACCUCAAUUCAAAACUCUCAAAACCUUAAUAAACCAUUGGUAUCAUAAAAAUAUGAAAAUGAACAUUACAACACAUGAAGUUUAAUUAAAACUAAAGUGACAAUGAAUACAUUGUGUAGUUCAGCAUCCUUUGUAAAUGCAAAUACAAGUGAAUAAACAAAUUAAGUAAAAAGACUAGACAUUGUCGUUCAAAUUCAAAAGUAACAAUUAAUCAUCUAAACUAGUACUUUCGUUAUAGUAGACCUCUAGCAAUCAUUUCAUGUAGAAGUUUCUCUGCUUUUCGUUCUCAUCAUUUUUAAAAAGAGCGUGGAUAAUUGUUUCUUAAGUUACUACAUUAGGAAUGCAACCAUUGUCUUCCAUUUUUGACAACAGAGUCAGAGCUUCAUAAUAGUAAAUGCAAAUAUAACAAAGUAGGCUAUUGUUAUUUGUUUUCAUCAUGUCUUAGUUUUGCCUCAAAAAGUAAAUGCAAAUAAUAUGUAUGCAGACGUGUAGAUAACCAAUUUUGCCAAUAUACAGAACUUGUAUAGACUUAUUGCUUCGGUCAAAUACCACUUUUGGUCCUUUUAGUUUGACAAAAUUCCCAAGUUAGUCCUUUAAGUUUCAAAAGUUUCAAACAGGUGCUUUUAGUUUGACAGAAUUCCCAAUUUAGUCUUUAAGUUUCAAAAGUUUCAAACUAAAAUGACCUAUUUGAAAUUUUUGAAACGGUGAUGGUGAAAUAGUUUAUCAACUAAAAGGACCAACUUGGGAAUUCUGUCAAACUAAAAAGACCUAAUUGAAACUUUCGAAACUUAAAGGACUAACUUGGAAAUUCUGUCAAACUAAAAGGACCUAAUUGAAACUUUCGAAACUUAAAGGACUAACUUGGGAAUUAUAUCAAACAAAAAGGACCAAAAGUGGUAUUUGGCCUAUUGCUUCAUUUCAACACUCAAUAAAUCAUAUAAAAAAAAAACCAUAUACAAGAACAAUAUCAACUUUCAAAGCUCCUACCUUCUCAGAUUGGUUUUUUAUUUGACUCACUAAAAGUGAUCGACACUACAUUGCAAAGAUAAUGGACAACUACGUGAAGAAAUUCAAACUACCAAUAUGUGCAUUGAAACUCCAACCUCUUAUUCUGUUAAAAAUAUAUUUGCAAACUACUUUUUAAGCACAGAAAUUUGGUAUUAAAUGUGAUAAAUAAUCAAUCUACUAAUAACUAAAACUUAUUCAUCAUGACUAUGAAAAAAUCACUCACUAACAAUCAAUGUCCAUUAUGAUAUUCUUCCAGCCAGCCUAUUUUUUUUUUUUGCAAAAUCAACCACUCCUUGGUUCUGCUUCACUGAAUAUACUACAUCAAACUCUUCAUUUAGAAAUGAAGCUUGUAGCAUACGACAAAACUUAAUCCUCAUGUGAAAAUAUUCACCUCUACUGAAAAUGCAGGCUAGAGACAUA